rnacentral:rRNA from 1 species
GUGCCAGCCGCCGCGGUAAUACCGGCAGCUCAAGUGAUGGCCGAUCUUAUUGGGCCUAAAGCGUCCGUAGCUGGCCGAACAAGUCCGUCGGGAAAUCCACGUGCUUAACACGUGGGGGACCGGCGGAAACUGUUCGGCUUGGAACCGGAAGGCUCAGAGAGUACGUCCGGGGUAGGAGUGAAAUCCCGUAAUCCCGGACGGACCACCGAUGGCGAAAGCACUCUGAGAAGACGGCUUCGACAGUGAGGGACGAAAGCUAGGGUCUCAAACCGGAUUAGAAACCCUGGUAGUCC